CCCGACAUAGAAGAGAAGUGGCUUGAGUUCCAGGCCCUGACUCCCUUCCCUUUCAGGACCCCAGAGUGGAGGCAGAGCCGUGGUGAGCCCAGGAACCGGCAUCUUCUGCAGACGCCACAGCCCAGGAGCAGGAUGAAGGCCUCGCUCAGCAGCCAGCCGCCUGUAGACACUGGCUUUUCCUACUCAGAUGGAACCAACAUGCUCCCUUAUUACUAUUAUUUUCAACUUUAAGUCUCAGAUCCCGAGGUAGGAUCCUGACUACAGAGGUAAUCUUCCUCAAUCCACGCUUGACAAUUGCUUUACGUUUUCCCUAUGUCUCUCUCAAUCCUAGCCUCAUCCAAAGCCCUUGAAUCUCCUUCUGGAGUUUUGGACCAGUGGUAACCUAACUCCCAGAAGCCCCUGGGUGACCAC
rnacentral:lncRNA from 1 species